GCCUUAGCUCAGUUGGUUAGAGUGUGGUGCUGAUAAUACCAGGGUUGCAGGUUUGUUUCCUGCACGGGACAGCGGCA